rnacentral:rRNA from 1 species
AUUGAACGCUGGCGGCAUGCUUUACACAUGCAAGUCGAACGGUAACAGGCCGCAAGGUGCUGACGAGUGGCGAACGGGUGAGUAAUGCAUCGGAACGUGCCCAGUCGUGGGGGAUAACGCAGCGAAAGCUGCGCUAAUACCGCAUACGAUCUAUGGAUGAAAGCGGGGGACCGUAAGGCCUCGCGCGAUUGGAGCGGCCGAUGUCAGAUUAGGUAGUUGGUGGGGUAAAGGCCUACCAAGCCAACGAUCUGUAGCUGGUAUGAGAGGGCGACCAGCAACACUGGGACUGAGAGACGGCCCAGAAUCCUACGGGAGGCAGCAGUGGGGAAUUUUGGACAAUGGGCGCAAGCCUGAUCCAGCAAUGCCGCGUGCAGGAAGAAGGCCUUCGGGUUGUAAACUGCUUUUGUACGGAACGAAAAGGCUCUGGUUAAUACCUGGGGCUCAUGACGGUACCGUAAGAAUAAGCACCGGCUAACUACGUGCCAGCCGCCGCAGUAAAAC